rnacentral:rRNA from 1 species
GAUUCCCCUAGUAACUGCGAGUGAAGAGGGAAAAGCUCAAAUUUAGAAUCUCACAGCGCUCUGCUGUCUGAGUUGUAAAUUAGAGAAGUGCUAUCCGCGCUGGCCUGUGCACAAGUCCCUUGGAAAAGGGCAUCAUAGAGGGUGACAAUCCCGUCUUUGGCAGAGACUCCCAGUGCCUUUGUGAUGCGCUCUCAACGAGUCGAGUUGUUUGGGAAUGCAGCUCCAAAUGGGUGGUAAAUUCCAUCUAAAGCUAAAUACUGGCGAGAGACCGAUAGCGCACAAGUACCGUGAGGGAAAGAUGAAAAGAACUUUGAAAAGAGAGUUAAACAGUACGUGAAAUUGUUGAAAGGGAAACACUUGAAGUCAGUCUGCUUGCUGUCCAAAUCAACCUGACCUUGGUUGGGUGUAUUUUGGUUCAGUUAGGGUCAGCAUCAAUUUUGGCUAUCAGAUAAAGGGUCUGGGAAUGUGACAUUCUUCGGAGUGUGUUAUAGACUAGGCUUUUAAUGUGAUGGCUGGGAUUGAGGAACUCGAUGUAUUCAUUGCAUCUAGGAUGCUGGCAUAAUGGCUUCAAUUGACCCGUCUUGAAACACGGACCAAGGAGUCUAACAUGCAUGCGAGUGUUUGGGUGGCAAACCCUUGCGCGUAAUGAAAGUGAAAGUUGAGAACCCUGUCAUGGGGUGCAUCGACACCCAGACCUGACCUUUUGUGAGGGAUCUGCGGUAGAGCAUGUAUG